rnacentral:rRNA from 1 species
GUCAUAAUCAUUAGUCUUUUAAUUUGAGACUGGAAUGAAAGAGUAAACCGGGAGAAUUUUUUUUCAGUUGAGAAAAUGAAUUUUACUUUUUAGUAAGAAGGCUAAAAUUUAACUUUUAGACAAGAAGACCCUAUAAAACUUUAUAUUUUUAUUUCUUAGUUGAAAGAAGAAGUAUUUCGCUGGGGCGGUGGAGGAAAGCCCUUCCUUUUAAAAAAAUAAACUUUCUUGUUUAAAUACCUAGAAAUUCUAAAUUAGAAAUAAGUUACUUUAGGGAUAACAGCUUAAUUUACUUAGAAAGAUCAAAUUGACAAGUAAGUUUAUGACCUCGAUGUUGAAUUAAAAGACCUUUUUUGUGCAAAAGCUAAAAA